rnacentral:rRNA from 1 species
AGAGUUUGAUCAUGGCUCAGGACGAACGCUGGCGGCGUGCUUAACACAUGCAAGUCGAGCGGAAAGGCCCUUCGGGGUACUCGAGCGGCGAACGGGUGAGUAACACGUGAGCAACCUGCCCUUAGCUCUGGGAUAGCUCCGGGAAACCGGAAUUAAUACCGGAUAUGACCACGGCCGACAUCGGCUGUGGUGGAAAGGAUUCCGGCUAAGGAUGGGCUCGCGGCCUAUCAGCUUGUUGGUGAGGUAACGGCUCACCAAGGCGACGACGGGUAGCCGGCCUGAGAGGGCGACCGGCCACACUGGGACUGAGACACGGCCCAGACUCCUACGGGAGGCAGCAGUGGGGAAUAUUGCGCAAUGGGCGAAAGCCUGACGCAGCGACGCCGCGUGGGGGAUGAAGGCCUUCGGGUUGUAAACCCCUUUCAGCAGGGACGAAGCGCAAGUGACGGUACCUGCAGAAGAAGCGCCGGCUAACUACGUGCCAGCAGCCGCGGUAAUACGUAGGGCGCAAGCGUUGUCCGGAAUUAUUGGGCGUAAAGAGCUCGUAGGCGGUCUGUUGCGUCCGCUGUGAAAACCCAGGGCUUAACCCUGGGCUUGCAGUGGAUACGGGCAGACUAGAGGCAGGUAGGGGAGAAUGGAAUUCCCGGUGUAGCGGUGAAAUGCGCAGAUAUCGGGAGGAACACCGGUGGCGAAGGCGGUUCUCUGGGCCUGACCUGACGCUGAGGAGCGAAAGCGUGGGGAGCGAACAGGAUUAGAUACCCUCGUAGUCC